GAUGGCCGAAGUAAAGUUAGGACGCGGUGGUAUUGAGUUUAAACUGCAAGUUAUGCCUUUAUUAUUUGUUCUGCAAUGUGGUUAUUGUGUUCUGUUGUGACGGAAAUGUUGCGUAAAUGCUUUCCUGUUUUCCAAAUGUGUUCCUGUUGCAUUCAAUGCGAAGAUUUGUUAGCAAGACUGUUGUUAACAUGUGCCAGUGGUCAACUACAGCCUCAGAGUCCUACGUUGGUGUUGCUUGCAGCAAGUUUCCUUCCCGCUUGGCGACCUUCACUGUUGCUGGUGGCAGCUUUGGCGGAAUAUCAUCACGAUUAGCGGGGCCAAGCCGUGCGGUGAAACGCCGUCAGAAUCAACGCUCCACAGUAAUCUCAUGAGUCUGCCAUUCCCGCAGCUGCUCAGAAUUGGUCGCGCUCCAAGGAAAAAGGGCUAACCACCCCUCGAUCGGCCGAAACUUCUGUUAGUCCAUAAUUAGUGGAAUAGCCGCGAAACAUCCAGAACUUGACAACUAUUUGAUCUCUGACCUCUGUGAAACUAGACUUCUGUGAAAAGUCAGCAAUGAGUGGUCAGCAACCGAGGAAAUUGUCCUUAAUGGACGAGAAGCGAAGGAAUUCCUCCGCGUUGCAAAACAUGCUCAGGAAGGCGUCUUUGUUUAAGGAGGGCGGAAGGAGGAGUUCGGUUCUGUCAGAGGAUCGACCCAGGAGACUUUCUCUUCUACGGCCACUGCGGAGGAACAGUGAGGUAACGUAGACGGGCUGAAUGAUUCCCUGAUGAAAUUGAAAGCAAAUAUGACGGCACAGCAGAGGAAAGUUUUUGCUCUCACUGAUACAUCACUCAGUCCUCGUUACUUGUCGUGCGAAAUCCUCACAGAAGUUGGUUACAAACACUCCAAUCAAAUCUGCGCUGGCAGGAAGUGUAAUUGAAGACAGCGAUAAAGCUUAUACGGUGGACAGAGAUAACUCAAGAUGCAGAUACCUGUCUGAGCGACAAUCUCAGUGUCUCAUAUCAGGGGUGCACAACCCCCGUGAAAAGGAACACUUGCCUGCAGGAAACAUGAAAUAAAUGUUUUAUUGGAUAAUUUUAUCGUCAGUUUUUGUGCCCUACAAUAGGAUAUUGUUUAUGACGUGUGUCUGUAUGUGUUAUGCAUGACUUGCGAAUUUCUCAAUAUUAACGCUAUGUGGCAGGAUUUAACAGCAGAGCUGAAAAAUAUGUGAUUCGUGUCGAAUUGCUUCAAUUUCCUUGACAAAGUUCUUACAUAAAAAUGUUGUUACGUAACAGGUACAAAUAUUUCUACGAAAAAAGACCUCGAUGGCUUGAUUAUUAUCUGGAAUAUUUAAAAAAAAAUAUUGAUAAUCGAUUGUACUGAGACAUGAUAAAAAAUAUUUUGUUAGACAUGUGCACUUCAACAAAUAUUUUUAGAAUAAUCGUGUGAAGGAAGAUAAGUUUCACGCGGCAUGUAAAACCAAACGAUGUAUGCAUUUUUAUCGUUUUAUCGUAAGACCCCGACGGGAAAAGACCAUGUUGAAGAAAUAGGGUCGGAGGUUAUGGGAUGAACUUUUAGGGCUCAGGAUAGGAUAAAAUAAUGGAAUGGUGUGUACACGGUAAUUGAACAUGGAGUUAUGCAAAUGGCGAGACACAUCUCGACUAGCUGAACGACUAUCAGCUUCUGAAGAAGGAAUCUGCUUCGCAGAGUUCGACAUCCAUUUACUGAAGCAUUUUAUUUUUUCAAUAGUAAAUUUCUGUUGAAGUUUGGAUUUUUGAUUUCGUAUGUAUUCUGCAUUUUACUUUGUUUUCGAGUGGAUUUUAUUAGUGGACGUAAAGAAUUUCACGCCCAAUGCAUGACUACGUUAUAAGCUUUACCAGUUCUCAGUACAGUAGCUAGCCGACAGCGUUCCUCAAGUUUUAUUAACAAAUCAACAAGAUCGGUGUCACAAGUUCACGGUGGCCAGACAAGAAAUUGAGCACGCAAACGAUGAGACAGCCACGACAAUUGACCGACGAAUUAAAUGAAGUGCAGUGAAAACAGAAAUUAACAUUGUUCAUUUGGUGAAAUAUACGAUGACAGUUCAGUUAAUUGAAGUGACGCGGGCUUAAGAACACGGUGAAUGAUAUUUGGUUGACGGUGGUGACUAUGUAAUGAAAUAAUUUGCUUCUUAUCUGCUCAGGGACUCAAGAAUGGCUACUGUUCACGAAAUGCCACGCAAAUACCAGCCACUGAGCCGAAAACUUAUUAAAAACAGCGGCACUGAGAAUUUACCAUCUGUAUUAACGAUUUAAAUCUUAUUGGUAAUUAUAUGUACCACCUGCUUUAACAUCUGUAAUUCCAGCAUAUUUUCCACAUACUGUAUUUGUGGGUUUCAUUUGUAUCUCAGUCGUAUUAUUUUCCUAAACAGCAUUAACCGAUUUAUCCUUGGGAUGGAGAAGCGUUGUUUUCUUUGAGGUACGAAUAAAUAUUCAAA